rnacentral:rRNA from 1 species
AUUGAACGCUGGCGGCAUGCCUUACACAUGCAAGUCGAACGGUAACAGGUCUUCGGAUGCUGACGAGUGGCGAACGGGUGAGUAAUACAUCGGAACGUGCCUAGUAGUGGGGGAUAACUACUCGAAAGAGUGGCUAAUACCGCAUGAGAUCUACGGAUGAAAGCAGGGGAUCGCAAGACCUUGUGCUACUAGAGCGGCCGAUGGCAGAUUAGGUAGCUGGUGGGAUAAAAGCUUACCAAGCCGACGAUCUGUAGCUGGGCUGAGAGGACGAUCGGCCAGGCUGGGACUGAGACACGGCCCAGACUCCUACGGGAGGCAGCAGUGGGGAAUUUUGGACAAUGGGCGCAAGCCUGAUCCUGCAAUGCCGCGUGCAGGAUGAAGGCCUUCGGGUUGUAAACUGCUUUUGUACGGAACGAAAAGCCCUGGGUUAAUACCCUGGGGUCAUGACGGUACCGUAAGAAUAAGCACCGGCUAACUACGUGCCAGCAGCCGCAGUAA